rnacentral:tRNA from 1 species
ACCUUUAAAGCUUUCGAGAAGCAUUGAAUUUUUAAUUCGAGGAGAUUAUAGAAAUAAUAAUUGAGGGUA